CAUCGCAGCGCGGAGGUCAGGGGCAGACCCGCCAGUGGCCUAGCCAGUACCCAUCCCUUCUGCUCCCUCCUUGCUGGCAGAGCCAAGUGGGAGCAUCUGCUCUAAGGGGCGGUGUGGGUCCCUCUCUGGCCCAAAGAGUAAAGAGAGCUUUGUUCAAGUCCACCGCCAGUGGUGGGCCAGAAGGGGCCCCGUGAUACAGUUCUGGCCAGAACGCAGAGGCUCUGUGGGCGCUUCUGGGAAUGGAUCCCUUGCUCGUAAAAAACUGUGCGGAGAAGGGACUUCUUGCUUCCUGCGUCUGGACACGGCCCAGAGUGUUCUGAGACCCCAAGAACUAUACAGGACACCUCUCGCCGCUUGGAGCUGUAGCAGCCAUCUUGCAAGCAUGGAGGGACCUGCCUGAGGACCAGGUCCAGUCAUGUUGUCUCAAAUGGCAAGGUUUCCCGUUUUUUUGGCUGCGUUGUGAGGCAUGCAGGAUCUUAGCUCCCGUACCAGGGAUCGAACCUUCACCCCUGAAGUGGAAGUGCGGAGUCUUAACCACUGGACUUCCAGUGCUGGACCAAGACGUGCCCUGCCCAGCAGUGAUUUCGAGCACUCCUCUCCCAGGUGACUGUGGUUGACCCUGGUCCAUCAUCAGAUCAGUCCUAUGGAUGUGAAAGGAAAUGAACAAGAAGGUCCUUUGCCCUAACUGCUUGCCCUGUUUGCAGACCUGUUGUAUCCCUGAGAACCAAGCAGACAUAUAAACGGGAAAGCUGUGUCUUUGAGAAAAUCAGCAGAAAUGAUGGAGCUAGAGCC